CGCUGCGUCGGUCGGGCAUCAGGGCCUUUCUUAAAGACCCGGAGUACAACUUUUGGAGUGCCUUCGAAGGUUUCGCUCUUUGAGGCAU
rnacentral:snRNA from 1 species